AAUGCGAAGCCCCAAUGGAUCCAAGGACUCAGCGCCAGCCAAGUUUUAAAUGACUUUAUUUACAAUAAACAGUAUAAUUAAACACUGAAGAAAGGCAGGAAGAGAACAGAAAGCAAGAAUAAGUCAACCUGCUCGAGAAACUUGUAAAUGGCCUUGCUUUGUUUAUGCCUCCUUUUUUUUUAAAUACAGUAAAAAAUAUCCUAAACAAGAGUCACACAGUUUAAAAGAAAAAAAAAAAAAGCAUUUUCUUGAAGACAGAAGUGCUCUCUAAAUACCUCAUUGCAGAGGAGAGUGGCUAAACGCAUGAUGAAGCAAGUUCCCGUCUCCGGCGUCUCAGAGCAGAGGAAACCUACGGGGGAGGUGCAUGUUCGGCUGGUUUCUUUUCAAUUAAAAAACAAUCUACUCGGCCUUCAGCUUUCUGAAGAAAGCUCUGUCCGAGUGCAAUGGUUUUCUAGCCAGAUCCAAACCAGAGCAGAGCUUCAUUCACUAAUAGAUAUUCAGAUAAUUAAAAACAACCCUGCAAUGUUAGUCCCCCGCGGGUAGGAGCCUACUGGAGGGCAACGACGGAGUAGCCCAAAGCGUUACGAAGCCUGGGCUCUGCAGUGUUUUCUAAAGCAACCUCUACACUCUCGGGUGCCUGGUUCUCCACACUGGAGUGUAACCCAGGAGCUGCCCCAGUCCUGUGAGUCUGGGAAGGAGCGGGCUGGCAGGGCGCAUGGCUUCAUGCUUCUCCAUCCCCCUGAAGCCCCAAGCUGUUCCCCCCAGGGUCAUGCUAGCUGGGGGGAAGAAGCAGGGACUGGGGGAUGGAGAAAGCCCUCCAACUUCCUGGUUCAAAACCAUGGUCCGACAUCCCUGGAGAGCCUAAACACAUUCGUGGUGCACCGCGACAUUAGCCACAGGUGGCUGUGGGCAGAGCUAUGAUUUCUACCGAAUAGGCCAGGCUCCUCCCUACAUCCAGGCUCAACCAGCAUCACCACCUUUGCCUGUGUUGAAGCUUUGGAUUUGGACAUGAGCACAGGGCAGGAUGGGCUCCCAGAAAGGCCCGGGGUAUUCUGCUCAUGCCAGGCCAGCCCGCCGCCAACCCACAGGGACCGAAGACCCACUCAGCCCUGCCCCAGCUGUCAAACAGGCUGUGAAGCCAAUGGCUGGAGCACAUGGGGCUGUUACUGUGACACUGUGGCUUGAAUGGGUGCAGUGAUCCCACACCAGCUGGACAAUAAAUCUGUCCAGGAGAAACUUCCUGGGCAGAAAAGCCUUUGUGUUUCGAAGCCAAGAGGCUCAGUCCCCCACGGAGAAUGGGGACAGGCCAGGCUGGUUCUCUGAGAGCAGGUACUAGCUCAUAAGGGUGGCAUCCGGAGAGUGACAGCCAGGAUGGCUGGCCUCCAUGGUCACGCCUUGCUAACUCCUGACACCAGUGGCAUUACCAGAUUACAGAGCAGAGCCCAGCCCCAGUUUAGAGGCCUGCAGAGAGUGACCCGAGAGGACCCCUGGUGCCACAGCAAAGCUUACAGCUGCAGUUCCCCCAGCCCUGAGUGCUGUGGUGUAGACUGGAUUCUGGGGCAUUCAUUUGCCCAUCAUGAUACCUGCAUCCUAGUCUACAUUGUCAUCUCCACCAACUGAACUUGCUAGGAUAAGCAGAGCCUCGGAGCCCAGGUGCAGCUGCUGGCUUCCCCAGUAGGGCUGUGUUUGGAGCUGGCACGGCCCCUGGCCCCUCUGCCUGCCCUUGAGGAGGUGGAAGUGGGUGGCUGGAAAGGGUGUCACUAGCACAUGGCGAUGGAACUGUUUUCCAGCCAGCAGCAACUGAGGCAAGAAGGGAAGAGAGAAGGACAGCGGCCUACAAGGCUCCUGGGCCCAUCUAGGAAUGAGGGAAGUGUCUCUGCAGGUAUUACUCCUGAGACUCUGCCUGACAGGUGGUUUGUAACUCCAUAAAGAGGAACCUCUUCCCUCAGGGCUGUUGGGACCGUCUAUUCUUGUGUCUGCAGUUGUCCUUCUCGGAGAAGGUUGGCACAACCACUGAGGACUCCCCAACCACUUAGCUGGUGGACAACUAGGGUCGUAUGUGAGCAUGAGUGCAGGUGCAAGCGUGAGGGAGAGAAGGCUUUAACACAACAGCUGCAAACAAAAGCAGCGUCAAACAGGCUAAAUUGAAAUCCUUCCUUCUCCUCCGGGAAUCUUGUUUCCCUUGCUACAGUCCCUACCAUUGCAUAGUCCUAAGACUCCCUUGUCUCCCAGGGACCAACCACGUGCAAAACUAAUGAGAGGUGGGGGAGAGCCAUCAGCCUUCUUCCCCUUCCAUUUAUCACCAUUAAGCAGCCAGAAAACACAGAAACCCACUGAUUUCUCGGUUGCCAUGAAAAGCCAGCACACAAAUUCGCUACUGAAUGGGCUUACAGCUGCUACACCUCAGCCCGGGAUCAGUGCAGGCAGGGGCCAGCCUGGCAGGCUCUGAGGAUACUUUUAUAAGAGCAGAAGAGAUGGUUUGAGAAACCACAGGCAAAAAUGAUGGAAGCAGCGGCAGCACCAUUCAGGUGUGAAACUCUCAAAUGGAGAUCUCUGGGAAGCUGGCCUGGGCUCUUAGGCCCCGAAGCCAUACAGGUGGCACCAAGGGAGGGACAGACAUCAACCAGCUUUCGGUGCCCUGGAAGUCUCCAUGCGAGGAAAGCAGCUCCCCUGGCUCCAGGCCUGCUCACAAGCCCCAGGAGGGGGUCAGUCAGGACCCAGUUUGUGCUGGGGGUCUGGCGAGGGCUGUGCACUGACUGCAGCUGCCGGGAAGGAGGUGAUUGCCGCUGUCACAGCUGAGCACGGUGGGGGGACUUUGAGCUGGUGCGUGAGGGGCAUCUGUAGAUAUGUGGCCUUUGGGCCACGUGGGUGCAGGCCCUCACCACGGAUCUGUCCAUUCACACCCUCCUGCUGCGCAGCAAUCCCUGCGCUGGCAGCUUCCCCGGCUCAACGCCCUGCCCCCAUGGCCCGUUCCUGUUCACCAGCAACGGCCUGGGGCUCACGUAGUUUCAGCUCCACGAUGGUACACAAUGCCCCCAAAGCUAAACACUGGGAGGCCUAAAUUGGGAGGGAAGCCUGCCAGCUGACGGCCAUGAAUCCCUGCCCCCAGCACGGUAGAUUGGAGCAUACGAUGCCUGGUGCUUUGCUGGUUGACUGGUGACUGGUUGAUUGCUUCCUGCAUGGAGUGGAAGAGGAGACCCUGAUCCUCAUAUUGCUGCCUUUUGGGGCAGGAGCUGCACAUGUUGCAGUUGAGGAACAAGCUGACAAAUGUCUCGCUGCACUGUGUGCACCCUCCACAUGUGAUCUGGAGCAGCGCACUGUGUCUAGCCCAGCCCAUCCUCUCUGUUCAUCCAUCUCGUCCAGCGACUGCCGUUCAUGACUGGGUGUUGUUAGCAUGCUCCUCCAGAGAGUCUGCACCAUGGACCCUGAACUGAUCAAACCACUCAUGCCAGCCCCACUGCAGAUGAUGCAGGGAAGGGAAGGAGCCUCGGGGAGUUG